rnacentral:sRNA from 1 species
UAACCCGGGGCAACUCUUCUCAGAAUCCAGCGAGAGGCGUGGAGAGAGGGCCGCGGUGCUCUGGAGUAGAGGCUCUGCCUUCGAAACACCAUCGAUCGUCCCUUCUUCUUUACCUUCUUCUGGCUCUUCCGAUGAGACGCGACCGGUGGCAUCACCUCUCGGUUCGUCCCAACCUGCUUUUUGUCUAUCUGAGCCUCUGCCGCGGAUCCUCUCUUGAGCCCCUCUGGGGAAUUCUCGAGUUGCCGCAUCAGGCAAGCAAAGAAAAAACAAGGCAGGGAGGUACUUACCUGAGAAAGGAGCCCCGGGUU